AUGACGAACACGGGUCAAAGUAUAGUACCUGUUCUUAUCAGCCUAAUAUCUGAUACGGGUUCUAUUUGGACCCAAUAUAAUAAACUUAUUUUUGCAAGUUGGUGGAGUGCUUGAAUGCUUGAAGCGUACUUCACCUCCGCCGCGGGUCGGCCCUGUGCUGCACUUUCUUCGGAAUCGGCCCCCGAUUU